GGACGGGUGAGUAAUGCUUAGGAAUCUGCCUAUUAGUGGGGGACAACAUCUCGAAAGGGAUGCUAAUACCGCAUACGUCCUACGGGAGAAAGCAGGGGAUCUUCGGACCUUGCGCUAAUAGAUGAGCCUAAGUCGGAUUAGCUAGUUGGUGGGGUAAAGGCCUACCAAGGCGACGAUCUGUAGCGGGUCUGAGAGGAUGAUCCGCCACACUGGGACUGAGACACGGCCCAGACUCCUACGGGAGGCAGCAGUGGGGAAUAUUGGACAAUGGGGGGAACCCUGAUCCAGCCAUGCCGCGUGUGUGAAGAAGGCCUUUUGGUUGUAAAGCACUUUAAGCGAGGAGGAGGCUACUCUAGUUAAUACCUAGGGAUAGUGGACGUUACUCGCAGAAUAAGCACCGGCUAACUCUGUGCCAGCAGCCGCGGUAAUACAGAGGGUGCAAGCGUUAAUCGGAUUUACUGGGCGUAAAGCGCGCGUAGGUGGCCAAUUAAGUCAAAUGUGAAAUCCCCGAGCUUAACUUGGGAAUUGCAUUCGAUACUGGUUGGCUAGAGUAUGGGAGAGGAUGGUAGAAUUCCAGGUGUAGCGGUGAAAUGCGUAGAGAUCUGGAGGAAUACCGAUGGCGAAGGCAGCCAUCUGGCCUA
rnacentral:rRNA from 1 species